rnacentral:rRNA from 1 species
AUAUUCAAAUCAGUGGCGCACGGGUGCNUNACGCGUAUGCAACCUACCUUAAACUGGGGGAUAGCCUUCCGAAAGGGAGAUUAAUACCGCAUAANAUCACACGAGGGCAUCUGAGAGUGAUUAAAGAUUUAUUGGUUUAAGAUGGGCAUGCGUGCCAUUAGCUAGUUGGUAGGGUAACGGCCUACCAAGGCUACNAUGGCUAGGGGUUCUGAGAGGAUGAUCCCCCACACUGGUACUGAGAUACGGACCAGACUCCUACGGGAGGCAGCAGUAGGGAAUAUUGGGCAAUGGACGGAAGUCUGACCCAGCCAUGCCGCGUGCAGGAUGAAGGCCUUCUGGGUUGUAAACUGCUUUUAUCUAGGAAGAAAACGCCCAUGCGUGGGAAACUGACGGUACUAGAUGAAUAAGCACCGGCUAACUCCGUGCCAGCAGCCGCGGUAAUACGGAGGGUGCAAGCGUUGUCCGGAUUUAUUGGGUUUAAAGGGUGCGUAGGCGGCCCUGUAAGUCAGUGGUGAAAGCCUCCAGCUCAACUGGAGAACUGCCAUUGAUACUGCAGGGCUUGAGUACAGACGAGGUUGGCGGAAUUGAUUGUGUAGCGGUGAAAUGCAUAGAUACAAUCAAGAACUCCGAUUGCGUAGGCAGCUAACUAG